UACGUAGGGUGCGAGCGUUAAUCGAAAUUACUGGGCGUAAAGCGUGCGCAGGCGGUUUUGUAAGCCAGAUGUGAAAUCCCCGGGCUUAACCUGGGAAUGGCAUUUGGGACUGCAAGGCUUGAGUGCGGCAGAGGAGACUGGAAUUCCUGGUGUAGCAGUGAAAUGCGUAGAUAUCAGGAGGAACAGCCGAUAGGCGGAAGCAGGUCGUCUGGGCUGACACUGACGCUCAUGCACGAAAGCGUGGGGAGCAAACAGG
rnacentral:rRNA from 1 species